rnacentral:snRNA from 1 species
CUCGCUUCGGCGAUACAUAUACUAAUAAUACGAACGAUAAAGAGAAGAUUAGCAUGGUCUCUGCGCAAGGAUGACACGCAAAAUCGCGAAGCGUUCCAUAUUAAA